CCGCGCCCGCGCUCCUGCGACCCCGCGCCCCGCCGCAGAGGGCGGCAUGCGGGACUACGACGAGGUGACCGCCUUCCUGGGCGAGUGGGGGCCCUUCCAGCGCCUCGUCUUCUUCCUGCUCAGCGCCAGCAUCGUCCCCAACGGCUUCAGCGGCAUGUCGGCCGUGUUCCUGGCCGCGACCCCCGAGCACCGCUGCCGGGUGCCGGACGCCGCGAACCUGAGCGGCGCGUGGCGCAACCACAGUGUCCCGCUGCGGCUGCAGGACGGACGCCGGGUGCCCCACAGCUGCCGCCGCUACCGGCUCGCCGCCAUCGCCAACUUCUCGGCGCUCGGGCUGGAGCCGGGGCGCGACGUGGACCUGGAGCAGCUGGAGCAGGAGCGCUGCCUGGACGGCUGGGAGUUCAGCCGGGACGUCUACCUGUCCACCAUCGUGACCGAGUGGAACCUGGUGUGCGAGGACGACUGGAAGGCCCCCCUCACGAUCUCCAUGUUCUUCGUGGGAGUGCUGGUGGGCUCGUUCGUCUCGGGGCAGCUCUCGGACAGGUUUGGUCGGAAGAAAGUGCUGUUUGCUACCAUGGGCAUGCAGACAGGCUUCAGCUUCCUGCAGGUCUUCUCAAAGAACUUUGAGAUGUUUAUCGUGCUGUUUGUCCUCGUGGGCAUGGGCCAGAUCUCCAACUACGUGGCAGCGUUUGUCCUGGGAACUGAGAUUCUCAGCAAGUCCGUCCGGAUCGUGUUCUGCACGCUGGGCGUCUGCAUAUUCUACGCGUUCGGCUACAUGGUGCUGCCGCUGUUCGCCUACUUCAUCCGAGACUGGCGGAUGCUGCUGCUGGCGCUGACGGUGCCCGGGGUGCUGUGCGUGGCGCUGUGGUGGUUCAUCCCUGAGUCCCCUCGAUGGCUCAUCUCUCAGGGACGAUUUGAAGAGGCCGAGGUGAUCAUCCGCAGGGCAGCCAAGGUCAAUGGCACGCCCGCCCCCUCCACCAUCUUUGACCCGAGUGAGUUACAAGACCUGAGCUCCAAGAAGCAGCCGUCCCACAGCAUCCUGGACCUGCUGAGGACCCGGAACAUCCGGAUCGUCACGAUCAUGUCCAUCAUUCUGUGGAUGACCAUCUCAGUGGGCUACUUUGGGCUUUCCCUCGAUACUCCGAACUUGCAUGGGGACAUCUAUUUGAACUGCUUCCUUUCGGCAGUGGUUGAAGUCCCGGCGUACGUGUUGGCCUGGCUGCUGCUGCGGCACCUGCCCCGGCGCUAUUCCAUGGCCACCGCCCUGUUCCUGGGUGGCAGCGUCCUCCUCUUCGUGCAGCUGGUGCCCCCAGACUUGUAUUAUCUGGCUACGGCCCUGGUGAUGGUGGGCAAGUUCGGAGUCACGGCUGCCUUUUCUAUGGUCUACGUGUACACGGCCGAGCUGUACCCCACGGUGGUCAGAAACAUGGGCGUGGGCGUCAGCUCCACGGCGUCGCGCCUGGGCAGCAUCCUGUCUCCCUACUUCGUGUACCUUGGGGCCUAUGACCGCUUCCUGCCCUACAUCCUGAUGGGAAGCCUGACCAUCCUGACCGCCAUCCUCACCCUGUUUCUCCCGGAGAGCUUCGGCACCCCACUCCCAGACACCAUCGACCAGAUGCUAAGGGUCAAAGGAAUAAAAUACAAGCAGACUCCAGGUCACACAAGGAUGCUCAGAGAUGGCGAAGAAAGGCCCGUAAUCCUUAAAAGCACGGGCUUCUAACGCAGCUUCCGGUAGUCCAAACAGACUAAUCGGUAACUGGGCUUCUUCAGAGCCUGGUAACGAGGCAUGCAAACGGACUGUCGGCCUCCAGGGAGCUGGCUGUGGGCUGUCUGGAGUGGGCAGCCGGGGAAGGAAACGUUGCAGUUGACCUGUGAUUGAGCUCCGUGUUCCAGUGCUCACGUGGGAGUCGUGAUGUGUGUUCAAGCCUGCUGCAGUAGGAAGAGCCGGUAGCGCACCUUCCUCGCACAGAUGAUUCACUCGGGCUGCUAGUGACGGAACCCCCGUGACAGGGUCAUCUUUGCCACCCCGCUCUCUCAAGCACCUUGCUCAGAGGCUGAACCCAGAGCAAGAGAGCCUUCUGGAGUGCUGGCUGCUUUCCUACCACAGAAUGACAGAGACCUCCACCUCUGCGGCCAAACAGAUGGCAGCACACCCUGGACCUCCCUGAGCCGCGGGCGGGCCUGAGGCUGGACCCCAGAGAACCGAGAAAAUGGAGACCCGGCCGCCACCCCCGCUGCGGGUGCCAGAGUUUGCAGCCUAUUGGAGGAAGACAACAACAAGCUGCCUGCAGUUUGACCAGAGUAUGCUGGAGGUCAGCCAUUGCUGGAGAGGCUGCCACUAACCACACAGAGAGGAAGGAAAAUUCUCAGCCCCAGCACUUAGAGCUGAGCCCAGCGUCGUCCUCAGCAAGAUGCUGGAAAUUCCUAAUCUGGAUACAGAGGCCAGGAGUAAGCAUCGUCUGGAACAGAGCUGGCUGCUGUCCCCCAGAUAGGCACUCAGAGUCAGACCCGCUCCCCACCCCACUGAGGUCGUCAGAGCCUCAACAGUGCCACUGUCCUGCAUGGCAGCCCCUGGGAAGCCCAGUGCCACACUUCCACAAAUGGCCCUGUAGCAGCUGCGCUGGGCGAUCUGUUUCCCUGGGGCAGGGCGGGCCCACCUUGUUGCCAUGACAAGCUGAUGCAACCAGUUUCCAACAGACCCUGCCCAGGAAGCCACACGUUACAGCAGCGUGCGCAACACCGCCCUGCCCUGCACUCCAGCAGGGGUGGACAUCCUCCCUCCCAGCGUCCCACUGCACUGGGCUGGAAGUGGCGUUGGAGUGGAUCUGCUCUUCCCAAGAUAGUAAACCAGGGACUUUUAGUCCUGGCUGCACGUUACAGUUAUCUGGGAUAUUAAAAAAUAUUGAUACCUGGACCUCUCUCCCACCCCAAAGAUUCUGACUGCAUCUAUGAAUCUAUGAGGGUUUCAAAACAUUUUUUAGUUUUUACUAAAGAUGACAUACAUGCCAAAAAA